GGAACAACAUCGGUUGUCCUUGCUGGAUUAGUUGCAGCUCUGAAAUUGGUUGGUGGUAAUUUAACUGAUCACAGAUUCUUGUUUCUUGGUGCUGGAGAGGCUGGCACUGGAAUAACAGAGCUCAUAGCACUUGAAACAUCAAAACAGACAAAUGCUCCACUGGAGGAAGUGCACAAGAAUAUUUGGUUGGUGGACUCAAAGGGAUUGAUUGUUAGCUCCCGCAAAGAUUCACUCCAACAUUUCAAGUAGCCCUGGGCUCAUGAGCAUGAACCUGUUAACAAUCUUUUAGAUGCUUUUAAU